UCUCGUGCUGGGUUUACUUGCUCCGUUUGUGGCAGGGGAAGAGUUGCUUUCGGCAUUCAGAGAUGACUUGUGUCUGGGAGAAGUAGCAGGCCUCCUGCAGCCUGUGGACUUUUUGAAAGAAGCUUGAAGAAGUAGCACGGGCCGUUCUGGAGAGCAAAGGCCACGUGGGGAUUUGGCAACUGUCCAUGAGCACACCUCUGAUCCAAACACCCCAGGGGACCACGAAUCCUGCGCUUCCCAGACAUUUCAGGGGUGACGUUGGUACUCAGACUUGGCUGCUUUCAGAGCAUGACACCGUGUCAAGAAGGGGUGAAAACACUCCCCUGGCUGGGGAGCUGAUUUACCCACAGUGCACCUUCACAAUGGAGGAAAUGGCCCUGCAGAAUCCUGGGGCUGCUGUUGCCCAAAGACAGCUUUGGCCAGAGGGCAGCUGCUAUGUUUGGCUUCAGGCUGAUCUAGAAGGAAGAUUGUUCUGGACGGGAUGUCACAAAUGACUGCUGAUAUGUCAUGUGAAAUGGCCACCUGUGUGUAGCCACAGGCUCCUCACUGCUCAGUGCUUGCUGCAGCCACACCAUGGGACCUAAUCUACAGUUGGCUGGUGGAAAAAGUGCUUCCCUGCUUUCUUCUGUUCCAGAAUAAAAUAAGUUGUGGAAAA